rnacentral:rRNA from 1 species
UGGUGGCGACCGGCGCACGGGUGAGUAACGCGUAUGCAACCCAUUUAUCAGAGGGGAAUAACCCGGCGAAAGUCGGACUAAUAUCGCAUAAAACAGGGACACCGCAUGGUGAUAUUUGUUAAAGAAAUUCGCUGAUAGAUGGGCAUGCGUUCCAUUAGGUAGUUGGUGAGGUAACGGCUCACCAAGCCGACGAUGGAUAGGGGAACUGAGAGGUUGGUCCCCCACACUGGUACUGAGACACGGACCAGACUCCUACGGGAGGCAGCAGUGAGGAAUAUUGGUCAAUGGGCGAGAGCCUGAACCAGCCAAGUCGCGUGAAGGAAGAAGGAUCUAUGGUUCGUAAACUUCUUUUGCAGGGGAAUAAAGUGCAGGACGUGUCCUGUUUUGUAUGUACCCUGAGAAUAAGGAUCGGCUAACUCCGUGCCAGCAGCCGCGGUAAUACGGAGGAUCCGAGCGUUAUCCGGAUUUAUUGGGUUUAAAGGGUGCGUAGGUGGUUUGAUAAGUCAGCGGUGAAAGUUUGCAGCUUAACUGUAAAAAUGCCGUUGAAACUGUCGGACUUGAGUGUAAAUGAGGUAGGCGGAAUGCGUGGUGUAGCGGUGAAAUGCUUAGAUAUCACGAAGAACUCCGAUUG